AAAUGCCUCGUCAUCUAAUUAGUGACGCGCAUGAAUGGAUUAACGAGACUUCCCACUGUCCCUACUUGCUAUCUAGCGAACCAACAGCCAAGGGGAACGGGCUUGGCAAUGUCAGCGGGGAAAGAAGACCCUAUUGAGCUUGACUCUAGUCUAAAAUUGUGAAAUAUUUUUAUGGGUGUAGAAUAGGUGGGAGUUUGUAAAAACAAUCUUGAAAUACCACUACCGUAAAUAAUAUUUUACUUAUCUAAUUAUUAUAUAACAUUAUUAGAAAUAAUAAUGUAUUUUUGUAUUACAAUGAUAUAACUUAUCAUCUAAUAUUAUUUGGGUUAGAAAAAAUUUUAGUUUGGGAGUUUGGCUGGGGCGGCACAUCUGUUAAAUAAUAACACAGGUGUCCUAAGAUAAACUCAAUAAGAACAGAAAUCUUAUGUUGAAUAAAAGGGUAAAAGUUUAUUUGAUUUUGAUUUUCAGUAUGAAUACAAACUGUGAAAGCAUGGC
rnacentral:rRNA from 1 species